rnacentral:lncRNA from 1 species
AUGAUAGGAAAUGAGGGGAAGAGAGGAAGGGAAAACAAAUCCUGCUCACACUUCCUUUGAAAAUGCAACUCAACAGACUUUCUCUUCCUAUUUCAGCCAUUUUAGAAUUGCACUGCCUAGGCCUGAUCUAAUUUUCCUGCUGGAGAAGUUAAGGCACUUCCUCCACAGUUACUAAAUCUGACAAAUUACACCUGGGUCCACUCUAACGUGAAAAAAUGUGUUCUUUGUUCCUGACCCUUUGGUCAGCCUAGAGAUCAAAUUCCUGGACAUUGGAAAGCCCCACUCAUAUUCAUUAAAAGCCACGGGAGACCAGCUCUGUAUUUCUGUUCAAGAGAAGAACAAGGUGCAGGCUUUCGCUGAACAAUACAACUGCUCUGCUCCAGUCGGUGCAAUAUAGACCUUUCACUUUCUGCAGCUUGGCUGCUGAUCAAUUAGUAUGUGGAUUUUUUUUUUUUCUGCACAGUAUCUUAGUAUCAAAACAGCAAAAGAAGAGCCUAGUCCCACGAGUAAGUUUACCCCAAAUUGCUUGUGUUAAAAAGCUGGCUACAGAUUCAGUAAUCAAAAAUACAAAGAUGAUUUCAAAACUCUACCUUACCUCUACCCAGCCAGACAUGCCAUUAGUUACCACAGGGGCUAGUAUUUGACAGAUUAGAAUUUUGUUCCCUUUCUAACCAUACUCAGCCUUUGAGAAAGAUGUUACAGAGCUGAGAGUGAGUCACAAAGACAAAAUUGGGCACCACUGGUGGCAGAGAAUCAAUUUUAGGUAUGCAAGCAAUCCACAAGCUCUCCCAUGGUACGAAGUAUGUAUGAGGCUGACCCACCUGCCUGACAACAAAAAACCUUCUUCUUCUGCACUCCCAAAAAAGAAUGAGAAAAAAACAACAAUAGGAGAAGUGAAGCAAAUCUGUGGCUGAACUGUUAAAAAGAUGCCUGAUGCCUUUCUUCCAGAUUCUUGGAAGAAUGAGAUGGUGAAGGAAUACAUACAGAUGCCAUAAAACCUGCCUUAAGGCCUCCUGAGGCAAUGGAACAGGGUACUAAUGAGAAGGGAAAGAGCUUGUCCUGUAAGCACGGACACCCUCAUACUUCAACCCCUCUGGCCCUGAUGAAAAGAACUACCAAAGGACGAAGAAAGAACUGCCAUGCCAAGCUUCUUGAUCUUUCCUCCUUCUGUCAUGGGAGAAGGAGUCUCCAUAAUUACCUUAGUAAAAUCAUGUAUAAACUAUUUCUAAGAAAUAAAACCCUUCUUAAAAUUUAAGUUCCUCUCUGAUACCUUAUACUAUG